AUUGAACGCUGGCGGCAGGCUUAACACAUGCAAGUCGAGCGAGCGGCGGACGGGUGAGUAAUGUCUGGGAAAAUGACCGAGGGAGGGGGAUAACAAAUGGAAACGGUAGCCAAUACCGCAUACCAUCAGAUGUGCCCAGAUGGGAUUAGCUAGUCGGUGGGGUAAUGGCUCACCACGGCGACGAUCCCUAGCUGGGCUGAGAGGAUGACCAGCCACACUGGGACUGAGACACUGUCCAGAGUCCUACGGGAGGCAGCAGUGGGGAAUUUUGCACAAUGGGGGAAAUCCUGAUGCAGCCAUGCAGCGUGUGUGAAGAAGGCCUUCGGGUUUUAAAGCACUUUCAGCGAGGAUGCGUUACCCGCAGAAGAAGCACCGGCUAACUCCGUGCCAGCAGCCGCGGUAAUAC
rnacentral:rRNA from 1 species